rnacentral:rRNA from 1 species
UGACCUCGGAUCAGGUAGGAAUACCCGCUGAACUUAAGCAUAUCAAUAACCGGAGGAA